rnacentral:rRNA from 1 species
CCUACGGGAGGCAGCAGUGAGGAAUAUUGGUCAAUGGACGCAAGUCUGAACCAGCCAUGCCGCGUGCAGGAAGACGGCUCUAUGAGUUGUAAACUGCUUUUGUACGAGGGUAAACGCAGAUACGCGUAUCUGUCUGAAAGUAUCGUACGAAUAAGGAUCGGCUAACUCCGUGCCAGCAGCCGCGGUAAUACGGAGGAUUCAAGCGUUAUCCGGAUUUAUUGGGUUUAAAGGGUGCGUAGGCGGUCGGAUAAGUUAGAUGUGAAAUCCCGAGGCUCAACUUCGGAAUUGCAUCUGAUACUGUUCGGCUAGAGAGUAGUUGCGGUAGGCGGAAUGUAUGGUGUAGCGGUGAAAUGCUUAGAGAUCAUACAGAACACCGAUUGCGAAGGCAGCUUACCAAGCUACUUCUGACGUUGAGGCACGAAAGCGUGGGUAGCAAACAGGAUUAGAUACCCGAGUAGUC